rnacentral:ncRNA from 1 species
AUAAAAACUGUGAAGGUGAAUAAGUAGGGUAUUCCUUCCCCACAGAGAGGAUGUGUCAUCGGCUGAAAGCAUAUCCGGGGUUCAGGCUUAUCUCGAAUUUCGGCACCGGAGUUGCCUUUAAGAUAUCGGCUAUAUUAGCUUGAUAAAAGAAAGGCCGGAUGUUUCCGUUAUAACAUACAAGGAGUCUUUAAAGCUAAAACAGGCUAUAAAGGCUUAAACUUGGGUGGUACCACGAUGCUCUCGUCCCUAUG